rnacentral:lncRNA from 1 species
AAAAAUUUAUUCAAAUUUAAGAAGAUAAAAAAAAAGAGCUGGAGAUAAGAAAUUAUUCUAAUUUGUUGAGUAAAAAUUCACGCAACGAACCUAAUCUCUUGCUUUCCAGAGUUAUUGUUGAACAGUCUCGAUCGAGAUUCUGUCAGAUUGACUUUCCAUUCUCGAACCCUCGUUGAUUUAAGUACACUAGCAUAAUUCUGCCUAUGUUUUUUUCACAAGAUAAUGUCGAAACUACAGCAUACAAAAAUGACUAAGAAUGAACAAACAAGAGCAUGAUACUUUCUUCAAGGUUUGUUAUUGCCAGGCGUUUGUGUCUUUCGUCAGUAGGAAUUCUCCGGACUCGUUUUUCUUCAAAAGCUUCUCAAGCAUCACAUCCCAAUUAGGUCUUCCAUCAUAUGACGCCAAUUUAGAUUUUAUCUCAUUCUCAGAAGACUUGGCAUUGUCACCUUCUACGGAUUCUUCAUUCCUGGUUGAGCGUUCCUCUUCGGGGACAGUGGAAACAGGGAUUUUCAAACUAACGGCUCUUUCCAAGCAUCCUUGUGGUCUUUUUUUUGUAUUGUUCUCAUUCUACCGAGUUUUUGUACUUUGGGGGCAGUUGUUAUGGUCUCAUAAUUUUUCUCCCCAAGUAUCUGUAAGAAAGUAUUGAGUUUAAUUGGGGUCGAUUUUUCAGCAAAAUAUUCAUGAUAAAUUGGUUAUGGAUGACUUCAAUUGAGAACGAAAAACUAUAAAUUAUCCGUUUAUUUUUACUUCAAUUUUUUUAGAUGGAAUAUAUUUUUAUUUAGAUAAAUGGAGUCAAAUAUCUCAUGGCAAUUCUGUCAAUCUAAGUAGAAGAACGCUAAGUAGAAGAGAGCUGAUCAGACGGGCUUGAACCAGCUCGCCUACAUGACGAGUCCCCAUACACCCAUUUGGGGGUCAAAAAAAAAUUUUGUCCCAUCCACACCCAAAUAGGUGACUGCAGACGCACCACGUAAGCGAACCCGUAGUAAUACAACGGACUCAAUCCCGUCUGAUCAGCUCUCCUAAGUAGAAAUAACAUUAAAAAUGUGUACCUAAUUAUCCAUUAUACGCAUUAAACGUGUCAAAUUUUGAUUAUGCAAGUUUGAACCGGAUACAACCCAUUUAACAUUCGUGUUUAUAAAUCCAUCAUACUUGUGUUAACAUCAAAAAAUAACUAAUUCUAAUUAUUUAAUUUGUGUACUAUUCAAGUCAUGUUAUUGUGUGGUGUAAAAAAAAUUUAAAACUCGUAAUAACUUUAAUAUUUAAACUGAGGAAAUAACACCAUAAGUAAACCCUAAUUAGGGUUUUAAAAGAGAAAAUAUCAAAAAAUGUCAUUUUUUAAAAAUUUUAGAAAAAAAAAAUUCUGUUAUUGACCGCCUCAGGAGUAUAGAAUGACCAAAAAAAAAUAAUUUUUGAUACAUUUUUUACACUUUUCAAUAUACUUUCAUAUAUUUUUAUACAUUUUUUAUAUUUUCUUAUAUAAUUUUCACAAUUUUUUAUAUACUAUAGACCGUUCUUUGGACUAUUUUUAGCAUUUCCCAAAAAACAAUUUAUUCAGUCACUCCUAGGCGGAAAACAAAAACAAUUUAUCAACGAAUAUCUUUAAUUAUGACCGAAUUAUAUCUACAUUUUGUUUCCCAGCCCCCAGGUUAAACCUGUUUUUGUGUCAUUUCACAUACAAAAAUAAUUAUGUCAUCUUCAGAAAAAACCCAAAGAAAUACACAGAAAAUACACCUAAAAUGGUAGUAGAAAAUACUUUUUGGGGUUAAUUACAAUGGUUCUUAGAUUUUCAAACCAUCCUAUGCAAGUCGAAUUGGGUGGUUCUAUUUAGAAUUUUACUCCAUUUCUUCUUUUUACAAUACCAACCAGCCCUAACCCAUACUUUUUUUUUAUUAUAAUUAGACUAAUCCAUGUGACAUGCCACAGAUUUACAAUUAAAUAUGCGACGUAGCCUUUUGCCCGGAGCGGUAAAAUUUCGACAGGCCAGGUAAGGCCAGCUCUUCACCCUAACCCAUACUUCCUAAUUGGAAAAGUGCUCUCAGUCUAAGGCCAAAGUUUUCCACAUGAGAAAGCUGGGGGUAAGAACAGCCCUCUCAAAGAUUCAAGCCAAAAAUGAAGGAAACCAUACUUGUCAAGUGCCAAACAAUGCCUUCAUCUUCUCUCUAAAAGAUGAGAGAGAAAGAGAUUGAGAUUUCCAAAUCCCUCUCACUCCUAGAGAAAAGAGUCAUCAAACAACACCAAGCACUCGACAAGUAGAAUCAUUAACACCUCUUUUUUAGCUUGAAUCCAAGUGGAUCUGAUCCAAAACCCCUCAACUCUCUUUUCGGUGUGGUUAAAGCAAAAGAAUCAUCAUCGAGCACUCAACAAAAAUAUAUAAAUAUAUGUAAAGUGUAAAUCUUCAAAUAGAAAAAGAUAGAACAGAUCGGAAAGUGUAGAACCUACGAGAAAAAGCAGGAAUCCAUAGGGAAAUUGGAAUCCGCAUGUCCAGAGGCUCCAAUGUUUGGGAUUUGAUUUCGCAUCGAUUCGUAUUUCCUUUGCCAUUCGUUUAACAGAGGAAAUCAUAAUAGAUGCCCAUUGUUUGUUGAUUGAAAUCGAGAAUUUGAGAGAGAGAGAGAGAGAGAGAGAGAGAGAGAGAGAUUGUUGGUUGGUUGGUUGGUUGCAUCGAGAUUUUCGGAGAGAGAGGCUGAGAGCGGAGGCCUGACGGCGAAGGCGAGGGCCAAAGCGAAUUUAUAUAGUGAUGAUGAUAGGGUUUGGGUGAAAUCUAAU